AUAUACUUAGUAAUUGGAAUGAGUACAAUUUAAAUCCCUUAACAAGUAACAAUUAGAGGGCAAGUCUGGUGCCAGCAGCCGCGGUAAUUCCAGCUCUAAUAGCGUAUAUUAAUAUUGUUGCAGUUAAAAAGCUCGUAGUUGAAAUUUGGAACUUUAUUAUAUUGGUUUAUCUUAUGAUGAACUGUAUAAUGGGUUUCUUCCUACUAGAGUUCGAUUCUGUUCUUAAUUGAAUGGAGUAGCUAUCUCUCGAGGUGGUCAAUUGGUUGUUAUAUCUCCACUAAUAAGCGGAGAGGGGUAAAACCUUCAAAGUAAGUUAUGUGGGUCAAGGUAUGGUGAUUAAUUGGAGUUCUAGUUCAUUUAAUCACCAUACCUUGACCCACAAAACUUACUUUGAGAAAAUUAGAGUAUUCAAAUAGUGAAUCAUG
rnacentral:rRNA from 1 species